UACGUAGGAGGCGAGCGUUGUCCGGAAUUACUGGGCGUAAAGAGCGCGUAGGCGGCGCGGUACGACCGCUGUGAAAGCCCCCAGCUCAACUGGGGAGGUCGAGCGGUACGGCCGUGCUUUGAGUGCAGGAGAGGGAAGUGGAACUCCGGGAGUAGCGGUGAAAUGCGUAGAGACCCGGAGGAACACCAGUGGCGAAGGCGGCUUCCUGGUCUGCGACUGACGCUGUGGCGCGAAAGCUAGGGGGAGCAAACGGG
rnacentral:rRNA from 1 species